GUUAUAUUUUCGUCUGGGAAACAGACAAAAACUUCUAGAUAUUCCAGCACCCACAAAAAGACUGAAUCCGGUUGGCCAAUGGAGAUUAAAAAAAGAAAGAAAGUAAAACAAAAACCUCCAGGUUUUACUUGAAGAUGCUAGAAACUGUUAAGUAAGCCCUAAGUGCGGCGUGCUCCUCCUCUGUCCCCUCCCCCAAAUCCAAGAAUACUAGUUUGACUUCAGCAGUUCUGAUGUCAGCGAUUUGCUACAGCGAGGGCAUGGCUUGGGUGAGCACAGGACCAACCGAGCGCCAAGUCAGGACUCCUGGAGUCUGACUCACUGCAGAGGCUGGAGGAAGUCGUUCCUACCGCCCCUGUGUCGCCCCUCAAUUUUGCGAAGAGAAGAGUAGGGUGGCGCUAAAGAAAGUCAGUUUGCAUCCAUUCAUUUCAGUUGCCUCUCUGCAUUUGGACAGAUUCUUCGAACGCCAGCUCAGAAGCCGGGCCGGAGGACAACGCGGCUUCAAGGAGCAGGGGUCUGCGAGUAAGUCCAGGUGAGUAGGAACCGCGGCCAGGAGGACCGGCCCGCGCCGCAGCGCGCACGCGCGGCGCCCGGAACCCACGCUCGUCCCCGCUGCGGGCCCGCGCUCGGAAGAGGGCGGCAGCGCGCAGGGAGCGGGAGGCGCGCGAGGCCGGCAGGCAGAAGCCGUGAGCCUCGCAGCAGCACGGACCCGAGAGUCGCCGCUGCCGCCACCGGCACACUCGAUCUGAUUUGUACUCACUGUAACAAGCACCGCUCCCAAGACCUUCUGGAUCCAGACUCAGGGCUCCAGCUCCCUGGAAAUCCUUAGCACGAAGGAGGCUGCAGUCUUGGAUUCCCUGGUGGAGGACGGACUCCACUGCUCUCUGGUCUUGCCCCCUGAUGAUGAUA
rnacentral:lncRNA from 1 species